rnacentral:ncRNA from 1 species
CCCCAAGGACGACCUCGGGGCGCGGCGUUGAGCGCCGCCUGCUCCGGGGACGACCCCG